GUUGAACGCUGGCGGCGUGCCUAAUACAUGCAAGUCGAACGAAACUUCUUUAUCACCGAGUGCUUGCACUCACCGAUAAAGAGUUGAGUGGCGAACGGGUGAGUAACACGUGGGCAACCUGCCCAAAAGAGGGGGAUAACACUUGGAAACAGGUGCUAAUACCGCAUAACCAUAGUUACCGCAUGGUAACUAUGUAAAAGGUGGCUAUACUACCGCUUUUGGAUGGGCCCGCGGCGCAUUAGCUAGUUGGUAGGGUAAAGGCUUACCAAGGCAAUGAUGCGUAGCCGAAUUGAGAGGUUGAUCGGCCACAUUGGGACUGAGACACGGCCCAAACUCCUACGGGAGGCAGCAGUAGGGAAUCUUCCACAAUGGGCGAAAGCCUGAUGGAGCAACGCCGCGUGGGUGAAGAAGGUCUUCGGAUCGUAAAACCCUGUUGUUAGAGAAGAAAGUGCGUGAGAGUAACUGUUCACGUUUCGACGGUAUCUAACCAGAAAGCCACGGCUAACUACGUG
rnacentral:rRNA from 1 species